AGUCGUAACAAGGUAUCCGUAGGUGAACCUGCGGAUGGAUCAUUACCAAAGGAUUUUUAUCCUCUACGUCAUGUGAACUGUUUUGAACGACAGUCAGUGUUUGGAUCUUUUUUAUUGGAGUUUAGUUUCUUUAUUGAAAUUAUUCUAGUAGAAAUCAUAAAUACUGACUGUAUAGUACUAACGUACAUCUGAUCUUGUCAGACUGAAAUCUACCAUAGUGCAAACUAUAAUGACAACUUUUAGCAACGGAUCUCUUGGCUCUC
rnacentral:misc_RNA from 1 species